rnacentral:rRNA from 1 species
GACGAACGCUGGCGGCGUGCUUAACACAUGCAAGUCGAACGAUGAAGCCCAGCUUGCUGGGUGGAUUAGUGGCGAACGGGUGAGUAACACGUGAGUAACCUGCCCUGGACUCUGGGAUAACCCCGAGAAAUCGGAGCUAAUACCGGAUAGGACCUUGGAUCGCAUGAUUCUUGGUGGAAAGUUUUUCGGUUUGGGAUGGACUCGCGGCCUAUCAGCUUGUUGGUGAGGUAAUGGCUCACCAAGGCGUCGACGGGUAGCCGGCCUGAGAGGGUGAGCGGCCACACUGGGACUGAGCCACGGCCCAGACUCCUACGGGAGGCAGCAGUGGGGAAUAUUGGACAAUGGGCGCAAGCCUGAUGCAGCAACGCCGCGUGCGGGAUGACGGCCGUCGGGUUGUAAACCGCUUUUAGUAAGGAAGAAGGGGCUUCGGCCUUGACGGUACUUGCAGAAAAAGGACCGGCUAACUACGUGCCAGCCGCCGCCGUAAGAC